rnacentral:rRNA from 1 species
AUGCCCUUGAGAGACCAGCUGAAACAGCUAGUCGAGCUGCACAAGGCAGCCGAACUGGCGAUUGAGGACUUCAUAAUCCGGUUAUGGCAUGCCGAGCCCAUGCCCAGUAGCUACUUCGGACUCGUGAAGUGGCUUGUGAGUGCCUGCCCACGACUUGAAGUCAUAAAGCAGUCGGUUUGCAUUGAAGGUGCGCGGAUGGCCUUUCCCCGUGCAAAGAUGCAUUGGGCGAAGAUGGACGCCACGACGCUGAUGACCGAGGGGCUGCCGAAGGGCAAGGAGCACCGCCGACCCAAACUAUACUAUGACAGUGUCCUGGAGGGAUCCCGCCUUUUGGCGGAGCAAUGUACAAAGGAUGUAAUCUUUGAAUGA